AUCAGCCUUUUGGGUGUGAUUUUGUGGAGUGUGAGGAGCUAAUCGCCUUCAUACCUGUAUAUUCGUGUACUUGGGGUGUACUUAUUCGUGGGGUAAGUUAACAUCAAUUUUGGUGGUCAUAAAAUGACUGGAGGAAUGUAGCUUCGAUCUCGUAUUGAAGUGUUAUAGCCUUCGGUAGAUGUGAUGAUCGAGAUUGAGGAUUGCAAUGGAUACCCUUCGGGGCUACCUGUCUGGUCUCUGAUUGUUGCUCUGGUGCCGAAAGCUUGCUUACAGUUAUCAAAGUCGAUGGUCAAUAGGUUAGAACGGGUUAAAUUCGUUAAGGAUGUUGACGUAAUGGCUUU
rnacentral:rRNA from 1 species